rnacentral:piRNA from 1 species
UAUACCGAACUGGUCCAAGUU